GGAGAGGCUGUGGCUUAAUGGGAGAGAACUUGCUUGGCAUGUAGAAGGCCCCAGGUUCAAUUCCCAGUAUUUCCA
rnacentral:tRNA from 1 species